AUCCCUCCUUUUUUAAGUACAUAGGCUACACAGCUUUCAGAAAAUAUUAACUUAUCUAACAUAACUAUAUUGUUUAUAUAUAUAUAUAUACAUAUGUGUGUGUGUGUGUGUAUAUAUGAAGAGUUCAGAUGCAAAAGCCUUUAAAUCCAUCUGACGUCUUUCUUUAAAAAAUGUAUUUUUAUCAGGCUCUGAUGUAUAGGUUUCUACCUAAGUACUGGUAAUUCUGAUUGGGCUGAGGCUGGGAUUUUAGCAACUUUGAAGUAAAAGUAUUUGAUGGACAUAUAAUAUGUGUCGAGAGGAUUCACUCAGUAUCAUUAUCUCAUUUUUGACCGAGAUGGCUUUUAGGGGGUUUUGAUCUAAACUCUUCAUAUAUAUGUAUUUGUGUGUGUGUGUAUUAUAUUAUAUAUAUUAUAUAUUAGUGGUGUCAAUCGAUUAAAUCAAUUAAAUAUCCUACCUGACAUUAAAGUUUUUAAUUAUAAUUUUAUAUUGCAAUAAUUUCACAUUCAAGCUUCAAAUUAAUGUAGAAACAACAUAAAGAAAGUAUAUUUUUAAUAUGUGUUUAAUGCCAUCCUUUUUUAUUCAAGUAUUAUUGAUUCCAGCUGAUGUCUCUAUAAAUUUUGUUUCCUAAUAUUUAACCAAGCCAUUCAACAUUGCAGUAUAACUGAGAGCUAUCACUUUAACAUUUAUUAGACUUUAAAAAAUAGCUUCUAAUUUAAGUGAACUUAAAACAAUCUUCACAUAAACCUAUUAUAAUAAACGUCAUACAGUAUAUCUAGCUGUGCCCUGCUGUUACUCUAAAAGCUGCAGCUGCUUAACUAGAUGCGGAUCUGAUACUGCUUUAAAUUUAUUAAACAAUAAAUACUUACAUGCACAGUUUUAAGGCAGCUUUAAUCGCCUUUUUUUGUAACUUAAUGCCUUAACUGACGACAUAAUUAUGACUAACUACAUAAUCGUAAUAGUUUCAUUUGGGUUUGAAUAUAUAGCCUAAUACAAUGCACAUUUGUAUGUGUGCACUUGAGGAGCACCCGCUACGAGCACAGUAUAAAGCCGGGUUCACACUACAGGAUUUUUAGCCCGAUUUUCCCCUCCCGAGAAUCGGAGCAAACAUUUGUAAACAUUAGUUGCUGAAAUGACGAUCUUUUAGAUCUUACGAUCGUAAUAUCACGUGACGCGCUCCCUCUAUCAUGAUAAUCUUAAUAAUAUCUUGUAGUGUGUGAUGCGCCACGAUUUUAGAAUCUUGUAGUGUGUGCAUGUUUAAGAUUUCAGGGAAGAUAAUCUGCAAAGAUUCUCCUUAUGUGUGCGCUGCAACCAGAUUUCAUAAUCGGUUAGGAUUAACGGCUGACAGGACAGGAAGAUUCGAUUUUACCAACAUAUAGCCUGACAACAUCUCAUCUGACUUCAGUUCACUGCUGUUCUACUGAAGCUCCGUACCAUUUCCGCGCUCUUUUGACUCGCACCUGUCGCUGAUGUGAAGUUGUAGCGCGCUUCUAGAAGUCUCCCGUUUGAUGUGCUCAUAAAGACGUUCUAGGUCUAAAUGCUGUAGCUGAGGUGAGUGGGGUGGCCAAAGCUACCCCAACCCAUGCGUUAAUUAUGUUAAAUAUUUUUUACACGUUAAAUAUAUAUACACAACAUUAUUAGUGCCCAGAUGACAAACGAAUACUUGUUUCAUGUUUCACAUCUAUAGUUUUAAAUGUCAGUUUUAAGUACUGGAAUCACUUUAUUAUUGUCUAAUUACAAACAUUUACUUUUGUUUUCUCAGGCUAUGGUGACUAUUAAUAUUUUUGAGAUGCUGACCAAAUUUGGUUCCUUUUUUAACAUAUUAACUCGAUUGAAAGAUUUGCAUAAUUGGAUAAUUGAAAAUGUAUAUAAAAUGAAUAAUAAAACUGAAAAUCCUAUUCAGCACAACUUCAAUAUAAAAUUUAAUAUACAAAACAUGUAUAAUCCAACAACUACAAUAAACAUAAAUCCACAACAAAAUUAGGUGUGCUAGAUAAGGGUCUUAAAAAAAAAACAAAAAACAAAACAAAACAAAAAAACAAAAAAAAAAAAAAAACAAAAAAAAAAAAAAAAAAAAAAAAAAAAAAAAAAAAAAAAAAAAAAAAAAAAAACAAACAAACAAACAAAACAAAAAAAAAGCCACUGAUGCCGACUACUCCUUGACCGUGUUUGCUCAUAAGUUCUCAAAAGUAAUAAUACUCACCACUGUCCGUACCUUCCCGAGGAGAGAUCUUGUUAUGUCUUGGCCACAAAACCAUUCUGUUUUAUAUGUUGGUCUGGAGCAGGUGGAAUCUUCACAAAGGUGGUGCAGACAACAACUAGAACCACCUCCAGACUGCAUACUGUACAUCACUGUAAGGUCAACAAACACUCUCUUCGUUAAACCUCUUUUUCCGGCGGUUCGAGUACCAGAGUGGACUCAGUGGAACAGUACACAAACAGAGCCACCUUUCACUGCAACUGACCCACAAAGACUGCCUUGCCAAGCACAACGCAGGGCUGUGCAACUGGUACGAAUGUACCUUCCUUGAGGGAACGGACCAAUGGAAUGGGCCCAUCCCGGAAGGGACCAAGGACCCCUUAAAAACCCCUUGUCAUCACUGGUUUAAAAGUACAGCAGAAGUGAUCCUGUGAGGGUGUAUGGGAGAUGCCAAGAUUACAAAAUCAAGAGAACCAAGAGAAAUGCCUGGCAUGUCAUUUUGUACACCUGAGAAAAAAAACUGACAAGUGAUGAAUAAUAUGUGCAUAAUCUAGGUGGCCCGAUACUGCACUUCUGUACUUGUACAGUCGUAAGUCCCGAUACCAAGAGCCGAUACCACACAACAUGUGAAAAUUCCUGUGUUCAGUUAAAGAAUAUUAAGUACUGUAGAUAAAAAAAAAAAAAAUUAACAAAAAAAUUAACAGAGAAAGUAACAAAAGCUUUAAUAUGAAAUAUUAAGUACUAGGUAUGUGACGACAUCUCGUGGCACGAGAAAACGAGAAAAACUAAAGUAUCUUAACACUUGUAUAUAUAGUAACGCUUAUCCUCUUCUGCCAGGAGGUGGUUUAAGUUCAUAAAGUUCAAAAUGCACCUACAUUUUAUUGCAUUUUGUCUUUUUUAGUUGAAAAAAAAAAAAUAAAAUCCCUAUAUAUGUCAUCAUUGAGGAUUUCUUAAAAAAAGUUUAAAAAUCUCGUCUCGUCUCGUACUUGUGAACCCAGUCUUGUCCCAUCUCAUGGGAUAAGUGUCUCGUCACACCCCUAUUAAGUACCAAUGUUAAAGUGUUUGAUUCUGAAAAAAAAAAAGAAUGAAUAUUAAAU